AACGAACGCUGGCGGCAGGCCUAACACAUGCAAGUCGAGCGCGCCCUUCGGGGUGAGCGGCGGACGGGUGAGUAACGCGUGGGAACGUGCCCUUCUCUGCGGAAUAGCCCCGGGAAACUGAGAGUAAUACCGCAUACGCCCCUCGGGGAAAAGAUUUAUCGGAGAAGGAUGUGCCCGCGUUGGUUUAGGUGGUUGGUGGGGUAAUGGCCCACCAAGCCGACGAUCCAUAGCUGGUUUGAGAGGAUGAUCCGCCACACUGGGACGGAGACACGGCCCAGACUCCUACGGGAGGCAGCAGUGGGUAAUCUUAGACAAUGGGGGCAACCCUGAUCUAGCCAUGCCGCGUGAGUGAUGAAGGCCUUAGGGUUGUAAAGCUCUUUCAGCUGGGAAGAUAAUGACGGUACCAGCAGAAGAAGCCCCGGCUAACUCCGUG
rnacentral:rRNA from 1 species